GAGAGCAGACAGCGCGGGCUGGGAGCGCCGGCAAGGGCGGCCCUCGCGCACCUGGCUGCCAGCCCGCAGGGGGCUCGCACGCAGACCUGCCCUUGCCACCUCAGCGCUCGGGUGCGGGCUGGGGGCGGUGGAGCCACGAAAGGUGGUGCCGAGAGCGGAGCGCAGGACAGCGCAGGAGCCCCGGCGCAUCGCGGCGCGCACAGACCCAGGAUUACUUCAUGCACAUAAAAGAAAACGCAACUACAGUGGACCCUGAACAACGUAGGAAACAGAGAAGCAAAGAAGUUAGCAAGCUUGUUUUGGCAGAAGAAAAAACACAAAAUACCCAACCACAGAUCCUCAAAAAUAUUGCUAAGCACUAAUUUUGCUAACAUGUUAGACAGCCUUCGGAUCUAGGCAAUCUUGUUCCUCAGCUGGAAAGAGUUCCUGCCAGCCAUGUGAUUCCAAAUCCACCCUGGACAUAUGGGGAUAAUGAGAAAAUCAGCUCCGGCCUUCCCUGGCCUUCCAGCCAAGUGAAUGGGGGCAUCCCCUGGUGCUUCAGCCCGGGGCCCACCCAGAGGAUGCUAGCUGGCCUGCAGAGGCCUCAACCAUGCCCUCCUGGACUCAGGUAAGACUGAGGUUUCCAUGCCCUCAAAACAAUUGUUCAGACAAAAACUCACUGCCCAGGUCAAAGUCACAGCACCAGAAAGCCAACCUGAGGAUGAAGACAAAGCUCUUUGUUGGCACAGUCCCCUGAUCAUUCGAGGUCAGCAUCUCCAUCAAAAUGGACCCAAUGCUGAGGCAAGAAGGAGAACAUCACUGUUAAGAAGGUAAUGAGUCACAAAUGCUAUUUCGAUGGUUUUCUUUGAAAGAAAUACACAGAACCAAACCAAUUUUAAUUAAAGAUCUUGUCUUUGUAAUCAGGCAGCCACAAAUGAAGGCAAAACUGCUUUCAUGUGGCAUAAUAUACACAGAGCUGAACUAGUUUUCCCAUAAAAGGGCAGGUUCUUUUCUUCAAAUAAGAAAAGAGUUUGUUCCUAACAAUAUGGGGGAUGCAACAGAAAGCUGUCUUUUGCAAAGUAUAAAAUUGCAGAUCCUCCCGUGGAAGCCAUUUCUUGAUGCUAAACCAAUGCGAACGUUUGCCAAACGCACAUGCGAGCCGGGAUUAUCCUACCCUUUGAGAUUAGACAUGUGAUCCUGAUUUUUAAGUGAAAAACGCAGCCAGAGGCCAAAUAAACAUACCUACAAGUACAUCGAAAGCUCAAAUGGUUGAGAAAUGAUUGUAACACACCCCGGUGUGUAUUUCUGAGGAAGAAUCAACAUGCACAUGGAAAUUGAUGUUUUGAUUUUUAAUUUUAAAACGACGACAGAACUGAAAUACCUCCCCUAACUAGGUCCACUGAAACCAGUGAGGAGAUAAUCAUUUUCAGUUAAAUAUGCAUGUAAUUUAAUAAUCCACAGAUGGAAAAUGCAUUUGAGGUGGACUGAACACAGCCAGGAGUUUUUGCUUAUCGACAGCACUGAAUCCUGCCUUGACUAGAGAGACUCGUCAUGUGAUCAACUGUGGCCAGAGGGCAUCCUGCAGACAGCUCCUGUCACACCACACUGACCAGACUCUUAUGAGUAUUUAAGCAUCUUCAGGGAAGCGAUUGACUGUCUUAUAAUGGUCUUACAAGUACGGAACUUUAUUACCUGCUAAUAAUCAGAGCACAUGAUGGCACAAUAGAAUAUACGAGUGAAGUUCUAAAUGCAAGGUUGUUCUUAUUCUGUGAGUGGCAAAACUCAUGCAGUGAGCAGAUAAAGCUGGCAGGAGGCAUUGGCGCCCUAAUGCUGGGCACUAACCACCUGCCCGGACUGCGAAUAUCUGUUGGGUCCUUUCUAUAUCUGGUCUAUUCUCGUGUUUGAUUAUAUCCUGGUGGCAAGAAUAGCAAAAUCAACUCUCCUUCCUAUCCCAUGUGGAGAGGCAUGAUUUGAGUCAGAGAGCAUUAUCCUCUCUGCGUUAUCCAACCCCAUGUCCCAUGAUGCACUUUGUAGACAAGCAAGUGUCCCUGGUGGAGAAUCCACAGCCACACAUCCUCAUUGGUUGCAAGGAUCAGUGUCCAAUAUCUACUGCCAUGAUCAUUCUCAGUUUUACAUCCACAGAGCUUCAUAGAAUUCUAACACCACAGGUCCAAGUAGAGGUUUUGGCCUCAGAGUGGGCUAGAUUCCACCUCUGACAGCAGCUGUGGGACUGUUUUUCCAUCUGUAAAAUGGAGACAAGAGUAUCACCUACCUCAUGGUGUUGGUGGGAUCGUUAAACAGAAUUCCGAUCAUGAAACCCUUAGCCUGCUCCCUGCAUAGGCUGCAUGCGCUCAGUGAGCUAUGGCUCUGUUUCAUGCUGACUUUACCAUCAUGUAAGCAGUUUUAAAAAUGCUAGAAGCUUUAGUCAUAGAAUUACCAUAUGAUACAGCCUACUGCAGAGUCCAGAGGCUGAGGCAGGAGAGUUACUUGAACCUGGGAGGCGGAGGUUGCAGUGAGCCAAGAUCGCGCCACUGCACUCCAGCCUGGGCAACAGAGUGAGAUUCUGUCUCAACACAAAAAAGAAGACAUGUGUCCCCAUCACAGUAUCAUACAGAGUGCUUCCACUGCCCUAAAAUACCCUGUGCUCUUCCUAUUCAUCCCUCUCUUCAACCCCAGCAACCACUGAUCCUUUUACCAUCUCCAUGGUUUUGCCUUUCCCAGAAUGUCAUAUUGUUGGAAUCAUACGCUAUGUAGCCUUUGCAAAUGGGCUUCUUUCACCGAGC
ensembl:lncRNA FENDRR FOXF1 adjacent non-coding developmental regulatory RNA